rnacentral:rRNA from 1 species
AGAGUCACUCCUACGGGAGGCAGCAGUGGGGAAUUUUGGACAAUGGGGGCAACCCUGAUCCAGCCAUGCCGCGUGUGUGAAGAAGGCCUUCGGGUUGUAAAGCACUUUCGGACGGAACGAAAUCGCGCGGGUGAACAUCCCGCGUGGAUGACGGUACCGUAAGAAGAAGCACCGGCUAACUACGUGCCAGCAGCCGCGGUAAUACGUAGGGUGCGAGCGUUAAUCGGAAUUACUGGGCGUAAAGGGCGUCUAGGCGGUCAGGUAAGUGGGAUGUGAAAUGCCCCGGCUCACCCGGGGACCGGCAUCCCAUACUGCUUGGCUUGAGUACGGGAGAGGUUGUGGGAAUUCCUGGUGUAGCGGUGAAAUGCGUAGAUAUCAGGAGGAACACCGGUGGCGAAGGCGCACAACUGGCCCGAUACUGACGCUGAAGCGCGAAAGCUAGGGGAGCAAACGGGAUUAGAUACCCCGGUAGUCCUGGCCCUAAACGAUGGACACUUGGUGUGUCGGGUCUUACAGUCCCGACGUGCCGGAGCUAACGCGUUAAGUGUCCCGCCUGGGGAGUACGGUCGCAAGGCUGAAACUUAAAGGAAUUGACG